rnacentral:tRNA from 1 species
ACUGCUUAGGCGGAUUAGCGCAUUAAGCUUAGAACUUAAAAUUAGGGCCACCAAGUAGUA